rnacentral:rRNA from 1 species
UACGAAGGGUGCAAGCGUUAAUCGGAAUUACUGGGCGUAAAGCGUGCGUAGGUGGUUGUUCAAGUCUGUCGUGAAAGCCCUGGGCUCAACCUGGGAAUUGCGAUGGAAACUGGAUGGCUAGAGUGUGGUAGAGGAUGGCGGAAUUCCCGGUGUAGCGGUGAAAUGCCUAGAGAUCGGGAGGAACAUCCGUGGCGAAGGCGGCCAUCUGGACCAACACUGACACUGAGGCACGAAAGCGUGGGGAGCAAACAGGAUUAGAUACCCU